UACGUAGGAUGCAAGCGUUGUCCGGAAUCACUGGGCGUAAAGGGUCCGUAGGCGGUUUGUUAAGUCUCCUGUGAAAGUUCAGGGCUCAACCCUGAAAUGUCGGGGGAUACUGGCAAACUUGAGACUGUCAGAGGCAGGUGGAAUUCCCGGUGUAGUGGUGAAAUGCGUAGAUAUCGGGAGGAACACCAGUGGCGAAAGCGGCCUGCUGGGACAGUUCUGACGCUGAGGGACGAAAGCGUGGGUAGCAAACCGG
rnacentral:rRNA from 1 species